rnacentral:misc_RNA from 1 species
UGGCUCUAGCAUUGAUGAAGAACGCAGCAAAAUGCGAUAAGUAAUGUGAAUUGCAGAAUUUAGUGAAUCAUCAAAUCUUUGAACGCACAUUGCGCCCUAUGGUAUUCCAAAGGGCAUGCCUGUAUGAGCAUCAUUAAAUAUCUUCAGAUUUUCUUUUUUAGCAAUCUGGUAUUGGUAUAUAAAGCGCUUUCCAGCUAUAUUUUAGCUAAAGAAAUACUGCUUUAAUACUCAAAAUAUUCACCAAAGAUAGUUUCUUCUUUGUAUGGCGCUACCAAGUUAAAUACUAUAUUUACCUGUCUACAAAAGGAUAACAAGCCUUUGAAGCUACCCAGAUAAAUUUUAUACAAUUUUGAUCUCAUAUCAGGUAGAGAUACCCGCUGA